rnacentral:lncRNA from 1 species
GGACCGUGCUUAAUCACAAAGCCCAGAGAGGAAGCGUGUCUGACAGAAGCUCAGAGGCUAGAACCAGAGGAGGCGCCCAGAAUUCCCAUGUAAUCAUGGAGGGCGGCUGGCUUCCUAUUCGGCAAGUACUUCAUGGGGAGAUCCAUUACCCACACUGGCUGUCCCAGGGCUCCCUCCUACCAUAUGGUCUUUGCCUAUGAAAUUCCUGCUGUCUUGAAUGCUGUUCUGUUUGUUUUGUUUUGUUUUGGCUAGACUAACCUUCCUUCUUUACAGCUGUCAGCUCAAGGGCAUAGGGCUGGGGCCAUGGCUCUGAGGUUAAGAGCAGACACACUGUUCUUGGAGAGGACCUGGAGUUUGGUUCCCAGCAACCAUUCGGGUGGUCUGUCCUGCCCACAGCUCCAGCUAUAGAGGGACCCAAAUGCCUCUGACCCCCACAGGCACCUGCCCUUACAUACCCACCCACAUAAUUAAAGAUAAAAGAAAUCUCAAAAGCAAAA